AAAUUCAGUACCACAUUUCCAGACACUAUCUCUGAUUAUAAACUUUGUGAACUGCCCAGGGGCGCUGCACAAGAUGCCGGGCCCUUAUGCAAAGGCAGUCCUAAUUCUUCCUUUGGGGCCCUGGUAAUCAGUACUGGUUUUACUCCCAGUCCGACGCCCCUGGAGCUGCCAUCCUACAUCAGUGUAAACUGGUUGUCUGGUGUUAGCUGGUCUGCCAGCUAGCUUUAGAGGGUUUCUGGGUAAUUUUCACACAGUCAGGGUCACAGUUUUCAUUGCAGUAUGUUAUAAGGAAUGUUAAAUAAAGAUAAAUAAAGAGUAAUGAUAGGACAAAUAAAUAUAAAUAGAACAAAAAUACAAAUUAGUUCUUCAAGUCUAACAGCUGUAUCCAGGAACAAAAUACUAUGAUGUAUAAAUUAGAUUUAGAAUUAUACUUAUUAAAGCUAAAUAAAUUUUUCAGUUGAGCAGAGUAAUGCAUUUUUUUAUUUACUUUAUUUUAUUAUUUACCGUUAAUGACAUAAGACAGCUUGUCACAUCUUAACACCCUUGUAUGGUUUAAAAUAUUUUGAAUGCUUAAACUGACAAUACAAACGCUCUGUAGGUUUUGUUUGUUUGUUUGUUUGUUUAUUUGUUUGUUUUUUUAUGUUAAAUGGUGAAAAGCAUGACCUCUCUCAAAAUAUGGAGCUACUGAAUUCCGCUGUCUGCCAACAGGUGUGUCUGAUUUGAAGUGGCGCUGCACAGACUGAUUGGUGUAUGAGAGGGGUUCUCAACUCUGGCCCUCCAGAUCCAGUGUUUAGCUUCAGCCCUAAUCAAACACACAUGAACCACUUAUCAGGGUCUUCAGCAUUAUUAGUGUAAGAUCUCAGUCUCCCUCUAGUGUCGGUCAACAGAAGAACAGCAGUCAGACAUCAGAGCAGAACCAGAGUGACCCGGGAAACAACACACUGCUGUCUGGAACUGCUCAUAUUUAUGAUUCUGUUGAUGCAACCAUUAAGAAAGACAUAAGUACAGACAGUAAAAGUGGGCCUAAUGAUCUCACCUAUGCUGAGAUUGAACACAAAUCUACUAAAAAACAGAUGGAAAAGAAAGAAAACAAAGGGAAAAACACUGAGAGUUGUGACAUCGUUUACUCUAAACUGAAGUUGGAAAUGGAUCAAGGUGCUGGAUCUGGUGAUGUGACGUAUGCUCAGGUUAAAUAAAUGCCUGGAGGAGAAACUUUCAAUCCAAGGGUACUGAUGAGUUUAGGUUGAGAAGGGCUGGAGAAUGACCAGGAUCAUCAAUGCUUUAUCAUCUUUGUGUUAUUGAGCACUUGAUGGCAAUGUAUUUAACAAUACUUAAUAUAUAUGAGUGAUGCUUCCUUCAUGUUCUGAUUAAAGGAAACAGAACAUUUUCAUUUAUUUCUGCACAGUAUAAAAAUAUGACCCAAUGUUUUGUUAAUAUGAAUUUUCCCAGGUGUUUUACCCAUAUUUUGAAUUUAAAUUUGCAUUCCAUUGCUUUGCUUCUGUUGUUAUAUGUGUGUGUGUGUGUGUGUGUGUGUGUGUGUGUGUGUGUGUGUUAAAUAUUCCAGUUUAGAUGUUUUUGUUGUAGUUGGACUGUAGGUUUACUUUGGGCAUUUGGAACCAAAGCUUGCAUCUUUACAACUGUAAUUGUCUGUGUGUACUUAUGAUUUAUAUUAGAUGUGUUUUAAAAAUAAACAUAUAUUAAACAUACAUUAAACGGUGUGUUUACACUGGAGCGGACUGAGUGGAGCAGAGUGGGCAUUUUUCAAUUGAUUCCUAUGAAAGUCAUUGCUCACACAGUGAAUUAUGAUAUUGACAGUGGAAUGGAGAAAGUGUUGAGAGAGUCCAGAAUUUGAGAAAUGCUCAACUUCAUGCAAAUGAGGAGUGAAAAAUACCGUCCAAGCAGAAAAUACCUGGAGGUUCAGACACAGCUGCUACCAUCUUGCAGUUAUCUCAGUUAUUGAUUGUUGGGUAAAUGAGCUCAACGUAAAAGGAGAGGAGAGAUGUCACUUCUCAGUGAUUCGUCUCACUUCAUUCACUUCCUUCAGAUAUUGCUUUUUUUCUCAUAACAUCAGCAGCUCCCCUACGCCUAUGAAGAGGAGCGCAAGUGUUAACGUUCUCCCUCUGGCCCUGCUUCUGGUCCUCAAGCCACCAUGAUGGUCUUUAUAUUGUUUAUUUCUUUACACCUUAUAAGAUUAUUUUCAUGAUCUUGUAUUUGUUAUUUGAUGCUAUGUGUGCUUUUCCACUACACAGUACCAGCUCAACUCAACUCGACUCACCUUUGUUUGGUUUUCCACUGUGUAAAAGUUUUACCUGUACCUGCUUCCAGGUACGACCAGGUGACGACCAGGUGCUUUUGUGGAGGUAUAUCUGCAAUGGAAAAUGGAGCAAAAA